GUUGCAGCUAAUUAGAAGAAAAUGACCUUAGUCAAUGUAGAAAUGUUCCAAAUGAUGGAAAAACAUACCAAAGCUAUGGUGUUACAUAGAAUAGCAAAUAAUGUUGUUAAUAUCCAAAGGAUUUUGCUCAUUUUACAGAUGAGGAAACUGAGGUAAACAAGUGACUUUGCUUAGGGUCUCAUGGCUACUAUGUGUCUGUGGCUGGAUUUGAACUCAAGUCUUCCUGACUCCAGGCCCAGCCUCCAACCACUGCACCAGCUAGUUGCCCCAACACAGGCUUUGCAGAAUGCCUUAUUCAGAACAACCUAGUACAGAGAAUCACACAUCCAAGUUCAGUUCACACUAAGUUUAAGAUUUCAAAGUUCAGCUUCUUUUUCAGAUCAUUGCAAGGAUGUGAGAAACAAAGAGCUUGGCUUGAGGGCUACCUCCAACUGAAAGCCUAUUUUGACAUCCCUCUCCCCCUCCCAUUAUGAGUAUCCUUUGCCUGGAAAUUACUUUGCAUAUAUUGCUUAUUUUGUAUGGUGUGU